UUAUGACUAAACUCAGUAAAGACCCGUCGAAAUUGCAUUUAAUUGAUAAAUUCAACAACACUUACCGUUAUCUUGAUGAUAUUUUUUCCUUAAAUAAUCAAGAAUUUUCUCAAUAUACUGCUAAAAUUUACCCCAAGGAACUUACUUUAAAGAAACCAAAUUGAUACGGUGAUAACUGUCCUUUCCUGGAUUUAGAUAUUUCGAUUUUAAACGGGAAACUCCACACUAAAAUUUACGACAAAAGGGACGAUUUUUCGUUCCCUAUUGUUAAUUUUCAAUUUUUAGAUGGGGAUGUUCCCUUGACACCAUCUUACGGUGUUUACAUUUCACAGCUCGUUCGCUAUGCCCGUGUCUGUUCCGUGUCUGUUGUGACGUUUUUGAUUUUAACGAACGCAAUCUAUGCUUUACUGGUAAAUUAUCAAACCAGGAAUACCGUUACAAUAAAUUACUUAAAACCUUUACUAAAUUUUUCCAUUGAUACAAAGAUUUGGUUUUGAAGUUUUGUUGUACCUGUAGAAAACUUAUUUCAAACGGGAUAGCACAUCCUAAUUUUUACGGAAAUGUUGUUAACCGUGCCCGGAAAUUAAAAAAAAUGAUCCUUGUAAACUUGUCGCUUUCAGAUAACUGCGAGUUCCUAGUGUCUUUUUGUUGUCGGAAUGUAUAAGUACCCGGACGAACGAACUAAAAAAAAUCAAUUGAAAAAGGCUUAACUCAUUAGAUGGAUACAAACAGAAAUACAUAUAUCAAAGACCCAGAGUGGACGUGACCGGGAACUUGUAUAUCCCAACAACAAAAAGACACCAAGUACAGAUAUGAUAGUACUCACAGUUGAUGACAGCUAGUUCAAAGCAACAAACAACUACUAAAAUAACAAUCACACAUCUUAGUCUAAAUUAUCAAUCAGUACACUUCCAACAUGUAAUUGGUUUAGUGUAAAGACGUCAUAAACAGUCAGAGAAAAAACAUGACCUUGUGCAAUGCCAUAAAGAUACAGGUAUCGACAGAUUGUAGAUCCAUGCAUGUAUAUAUGUAUAUAACAAUUAUAUUUAGUUUUCUUUUAAUUUACUGAUAACAAAAUCAAUAUUAAUACCAAUAAAAACAAUAUUCAAUAUGAUAUAAUCACAGUGUUGAAUUUGUAAC
rnacentral:lncRNA from 1 species